AUAAAUCUACAGAAUUCCAUUCUGGUGAUACAGAAAUUGCAGAUAUGGAAUAGGUGAAGAAAAAAUGUCGGAGGCGUUAAAAGGCAUCACUUUGCAAGAGUUCCUGUGU